GAAUGUGAUGGUGACCUGGCCGGAACAUCUGUCACCCCACUGAUCACCAGGUUAGAUUCACCUGAUCUGGCUGAAUAGGCAAGUGUCCUCUUCUCUAUCAAUACUCCAUGUGUUUGUCUUCUCAAGCUGCAAGCUCAGCUGAAGAGGAUGACCACCCUGAUAUAGGAGGAUCAUACCUUGGUCAAGGGUAUAUGAAUAUCUGUGUUCCUCUUCUAGAACCUGCAAACAGGUUCUCAAGAUGUUCUAUGUCUGGGCCAGCCAGAUAGCGCAGUAGACUAUAGCACCUGAUUAGGCAGACGCAUGAAUCUGGGUUUGAUCC
rnacentral:snRNA from 1 species